UCAUCAAACGGAAGAUCAUUGAAAUAUCUGAAAUCUGGAGCACAUCAAGUGCCAAGUGAACCAAAACGAAAUUGCUACUCGGCUCAAUCACAGAUUAAACGAACCGACGACGCGCCGAGAUAAAGACGAUGACGACUUUUCGCUAGUCACUGUGACAAGCGCUUCUCUUCAGGAGAGCAUCGGCAGCACAUUCACCGGAUCUGUCUACACGAAUUGGGAAGAAAAAUUCGCAUGUCGCGCAUUACAGAGUCGGGGUCGUGUUUUCAAUUAUCGAAAAAGAAAGACUUACAUCGGCGAUGGAGUUUUCAGCGCGCCGGCCGGUGUAUGCCCGCAUCGUGUCAACUCAUCCAUCAAUCGUCGCAAUACAGGCGAUUCUCGACUCGUGUUUAUUUGGCCGCAAAAAACCAGCAGAAGUCGACUCUCGAGUAUUUUCGCGCCUUUGUUACGCGGUAUCCUGCUCGGAUUGCUGUUUGUAGACGCUCUUCAUCUGUGGCCCGGAGAAUUUCUACCUACUUCUUUGCCAUCGACUAUGCCGAUUACUUUGCCACCUGUUAAAUGUAAUGUCAUCGAACCGCGUUGGUUCGACAACAAUUAAAGUGAUAUAUAUAACUAAUGUUUCGUCAUAUUUAUAUCAAAAUACAUCUUAUAACAUUGCGAUAUAGUUGCAAUUUAUAUAUAAGUAAGAAUUAUACAAUUUUUAAUAAAAACUAUGUUUUUUGUUUUUGAAAAGCUA